rnacentral:rRNA from 1 species
UACGUAGGGCGCAAGCGUUGUCCGGAAUUAUUGGGCGUAAAGAGCUCGUAGGCGGUCUGUUACGUCCGCUGUGAAAUCCCGGGGCUUAACCCCGGGCGUGCAGUGGAUACGGGCUGGCUGGAGGCAGGCAGGGGAGAACGGAAUUCCCGGUGUAGCGGUGAAAUGCGCAGAUAUCGGGAGGAACACCGAUGGCGAAGGCAGCCCCCUGGGCUAACACUGACGCUCAUGCACGAAAGCGUGGGGAGCAAACAGG